GAUGAACGCUGGCGGCGUGCCUAAUACAUGCAAGUCGAGCGAACAGACGAGGAGUUUGCUCCUCUGACGUUAGCGGCGGACGGGUGAGUAACACGUGGAUAACCCACCUAUAAGACGGGGAUAACUUCGGGAAACCGGAGCAAAUACCGUAAAAUAUAUUGAACCGCAUGGUUCAAUAGUGAAAGACGGUUUUGCUGUCACUUAGAGAUGGAUCCGCGCCGCAUUAGCUAGUGGGUACGGUAACGGCUUACCAAGGCAACGAUGCGUAGCCGACCUGAGAGGGUGAUCGGCCACACUGGAACUGAGACACGGUCCAGACUCCUGCGGGAGGCAGCAGUAGGGAAUCUUCCGCAAUGGGCGAAAGCUUGACGGAGCAACGCCGCGUGAGUGAUGAAGGUCUUCGGAUCGUAAGACUCUGUUAUUAGGGAAGAACAAAUGUGUAAGUAACUAUGCACGUCUUGACGGUACCUAAUCAGAAAGCCACGGCUAACUACGUG
rnacentral:rRNA from 1 species